rnacentral:sRNA from 1 species
AACCACUUCACCGUUCCCUUGCGUCUGUCUCCACCACUCAUGUUCACGUCUCCUCCUCCGCUCAUUCUGAUCAAAAUCUCUCCGACGAACUAAAAGUAAAUCACCGAUCAGAUCUCUCUCUCUCUCCUUU